rnacentral:rRNA from 1 species
UACGUAGGGGGCAAGCGUUGUCCGGAAUUAUUGGGCGUAAAGCGCGCGCAGGCGGUCCUUUAAGUCUGAUGUGAAAGCCCACGGCUCAACCGUGGAGGGUCAUUGGAAACUGGGGGACUUGAGUACAGAAGAGAAGAGUGGAAUUCCAAGUGUAGCGGUGAAAUGCGUAGAGAUCGGGAGGAACAUCAGUUGCGAAGGCGGCUCUCUGGACCAGCACUGACACUGAGGCACGAAAGCGUGGGGAGCAAACAGG